rnacentral:lncRNA from 1 species
CCUGUCAUGGACUGCCAAGAAUUCAUUGAUGAAAUAUCACUCAUCUUUGUUUUUUGUUUCUUGAUUUCUUUCCAAGAAUAUUUGCUUAUUUUUUUCAAUAACUAGUUUCCGUAAUUGAUAUCCCAAUGAAGUUGCUUAUAGCCAUGCAACAAAACCAAGUGGCACUUAAUUAAUUUUGAUGCCUUGUGAUCCUUCUUGCAUAACUGAUCCUACAAUAAGCAUUAGUGUCAAAGUGUCAUUACAUUGUUGGCACAUGAAAUCGAAUACCAAAAAGCAGGAGCAGUCAAUUGUUUGUUACAUUGUGCAUGUAUGCUGGUGUGACUAUUUUGAGUUGUCAAAACAUAUAUCCUAAUCCUGUGAAGUGCUUUGUGUCUGUAGACCUCGUGUUGGAGCUCUAAAGGCAGAAGAAGCUUUCAAGUGUGUGGUUUUCCAAUUAUCAUCCCCGGUUAGUAUGAAUGAACACUGAUGGUGUUUCCUAUGUUUGAUAGAUUCUCUACUAUUUGUAAUUACUAAGUAAGCUGGUGUCUGAGAGUGGCUAUUUUAUAAAAGUGAUUGAAGUAAAUAAAGGAGGUCCACCUCCUAAAACCUACAUGUGAGAGUGCUUAAUGUAAAAUUAUAAGGCAUUAUCGUUUCCUACAAAAACAUAUCACAAUUAGUAUUGGGGUUCAAUUGCUUCAAUGUGUCCUAAAUUAUAGAUCUACCCUAAACCAUAAUUUAACAACAGACAAUCAGAAAACUACAAACAAAUAUGAACCACUCUGCUUUCUACUUAUUUAUAACAUUUUCUUCAUGAUGCACAACGAAUUAGCCCGUCCAAAAACAGUGGCGUGGGAAAUUCUGCAGGAAGAAUAGCCAGAAACAGAAAUUAUGUUCUUUUUUCUAAUUUUCUUCUGCACAUUUAUUCACCACACCCACAAAAGGAAACAAGCAGCAUCUUCCAAAAGUAAGAGAAAAUCAUGGCCUCAAGAAAAGCGUAAAAAUCCUCCAGUUGGCUAUAUAGAACGUACAUUUUUGCUAUUAUAAUAAUGCUGGUAAUGUUAGAAAUGAAGGAAAACACAGGGAAACAAGCAAAUGGCGGCUAAAAACAAGUCCUUGCGGAAAGAAAUUCAUAGAAGACGCCAACUAGAAACAGCCUCUCGUAUCUAUAGAUAUUCGGACUGCCUAAAAAGCAAUCUCGAGCUUCUACGUAGUAGGUGAAAUAUUUGCUUACAUAAUUCCGUCAUUGUUGUCGAAACAUUACAUUAAAAAAGAAAAUGUGGCUUACCUGAAAGAAAAGGAUUGAGCAGCUGAUUUGCUUCUUCUCUGUCUUAUUUCGUUGUCAGAUUGCGAUUAACUGGAACAUUAAAAACUUUAUGGAAGUCGGUGCGGAUAAUAUCAAAUCCAUUACUAAAAAAAUGGACUUAAGGGACAGAUUUCUAACUUUCUAUAUGAAUGGUAAAAUUAAACUUUUAAAAAUAAUUAAGUCAUUGAGUUUAGAUGCUGCAAAAUUCGGUCAAUAUGCUGAUUUUAAAGAAAAUUUAGAAAUUUAAACGAUUUUUCGAAAAUUAGGAAAUAGGCCGCUUUAAAAAAAUGGUUGAAGUGUUUU